rnacentral:tRNA from 1 species
GGGCCUGUGGCGCAACGGAUAACGCGCCUGACUACGAAUCAGGAGAUUCCAGGUUCGAAUCCUGGCAGGCUCG